rnacentral:rRNA from 1 species
GACGAACGCUGGCGGCGUGCUUAACACAUGCAAGUCGAACGGAAAGGCCCUGCUUGCAGGGUACUCGAGUGGCGAACGGGUGAGUAACACGUGGGUGAUCUGCCCUGCACUUCGGGAUAAGCCUGGGAAACUGGGUCUAAUACCGGAUAGGAGCCAUUUUUAGUGUGAUGGUUGGAAAGUUUUUUCGGUGUAGGAUGAGCUGGCGGCCUAUCAGCUUGUUGGUGGGGUAAUGGCCUACCAAGGCGGCGACGGGUAGCCGGCCUGAGAGGGUGGACGGCCACAUUGGGACUGAGAUACGGCCCAGACUCCGACGGGAGGCAGCAGUGGGGAAUAUUGCACAAUGGGCGCAAGCCUGAUGCAGCGACGCCGCGUGGGGGAUGACGGCCUUCGGGUUGUAAACUCCUUUCGCUAGGGACGAAGCUUUUUGUGACGGUACCUAGAUAAGAAGCACCGGCUAACUACGUG